rnacentral:tRNA from 1 species
GACGAUGUAGCUCAGUGGUAGAUAGAGCAUGUGCUUAGCGUGCACGAGGUCCUGGGUUCAAUCCUUAGUACCGCCG